UUUCCUUAUCAAAAGUGCAAUCUCCAAAGAAAGAAAACAAAGAAUAUAGAGUCAUUACAAGCUGAUAAGAUCAUAGAGCACAAUGAUUCAACCAAAAUAAAGAUGAUAAACUAAGAAAUAAUGGCUCUGCUCUCCACCUUCACUUGUAGAGCUGUUGAUUCUUUCUUUCCUCUUAAAAUCACCUCUCCAAAAGCUUCAUUUUCAGCCCCAGAUCUCUACCUCUAAGGAAAAAUCUACCAAGUUUUCUUUUUGGUGUCCAUCUAGGUUUUUUCUUUUUCUCUAACAGCUCUUAGAUAUACCAGCAUGCCCUAAGUGUCUCAAUGGUGGGUAUUUAUAUGCCCCCCUGUUAUUGCCCACAUGUCCCUCAUUUUAAGUGAAGCUUCCAACUGGACACAGACCGUCCAGGUUUCGGUCUGGUUCCUGCACGAGCCGUAUCACCGUGUGAUUUACUUCUCUAAAGUUGAAACCCGCAUGACAUGGACCAUGCAGGUUUUUCUUCAUGAUUCUACACGGUCCAUGUGGUGAGGCAGUAGCUUCCCCUGAUAUUGACACGGAUCAUGUGGCUUUCCUUCACUAGUCCGCGCAGGUCGUGUCACAAGAUAGUAGCUUUUUUCAUUAGAAUGACACAGACUCUGCGAGUUUUGUGCAUAAUCUUGCAUGAUCCGUGCUAAACACUUAUCACAAAAAAAUCUUGGAUUCUUUAUGCUUUCCAUCCCUUCUUUCACACCCUAUUUUCUCGAUUUUUCCUUUUUUUUUUGCUCGAUCCUACAAGAACGAAAAACAAAAGUGUGAAAGUGGUCAUAUUCAUAUAGUUUAGGUAAAAAAUAAGUCUAAUUUGUAGGUAAAAUACCCCUACAUCAAGCACUUAGGGGGAUUAUAGUACAGUCUUGAGAAAGGAAAUAAAAUCGUCAAUUUCUAAUGCAAGUCAAGCAAGGAAACCCUCUAAAGCAUACUCCUUUAUGCCUAUGAAGAAAAGACGGUUAAUGACACAAAUAAUAAAAAAUGUUGGAACUCAAAACAAAUAGUUAAGGACGCACGUUUUUUCCAUGGUAAGGGCGUACACACUUACCUUCAAAAUGCAUGGCCUAACCUCUUAGUACAUGAGUUCUUAAACAAUUGUGCAUGGCUUAAGGACGUGCUCCUCUUCGAUAUAGACGUGCGCACUUACCUCUAUGCGCACUUCUAUACCCCUUUCAGACGUAUGCCCUUAAGUCCCAGUUUUUAACAGUGGUUUACAGCAUUGUGGACAUCUUAAAACAUGCAUCAAGCACUCAUUUUCCAACCCAUAAAGGAAUCAACAACCAGAGUAACGCAAUCUAGGGUCCCUGAGAGUCCGAAAUCGACUGGUUCAUGAACAUAGAACGUUCAUAUCUAAAGCAUCGCACAAACGCAUUGUCAUACCAAUCAAAGAUUCAUUGUGCCGUUUAACCCUGGUUAAUCGACUAACUCCCAUUCUGAACCCCUAUGUUCUAACGCUC
rnacentral:lncRNA from 1 species